rnacentral:rRNA from 1 species
GCGUGCUAAGGUAGUGGCCUAGGCCAGUGAAUGGCAAGACUAGGAAUAACUGUACUUUGUGUAUGAAAAAAAACUUUUCAUCUAAGUGAAAAGACUUAGAUAAUAAAGGAAGACAAAAAGACCCCGCGGAACUUUACCUUUUCUCAUACUUCUGUCUACAAACUUAAAGGUUUAUAAGGUUUGAUUGGGGCAAUCUUGGAACCAAUAAAGCUUCCAAUUUUUUUAAAAGAAUAUUAAAAAUUUACUAAGGACUAAAAAGUAGUUACCCCGGGGAUAACAGCGUAAUCCAACUAAAGAGUACACAUCGAAAGUUGGGUUUGCGACCUCGAUGUUGGCUUAAGGAUAUCCACAUAAGUGCAACCGCUAUGACAGGACAGUCUGUUCGACUAUUAUACCCUUACAUGAGCUGAGUUAAGACCGGCGCAAGCUAGGUUGGUUCUAUCUCCUUUACCUCAAACCUUAUCUUGAUGUACGAAGAC